ACGCGUGGAACCUUACCAGGUCUUGACAUCCUCUGACACUCCUAGAGAUAGGACGUUCCCCUUCGGGGGACAGAGUGACAGGUGGUGCAUGGUUGUCGUCAGCUCGUGUCGUGAGAUGUUGGGUUAAGUCCCGCAACGAGCGCAACCCUUGAUCUUAGUUGCCAGCAUUCAGUUGGGCACUCUAAGGUGACUGCCGGUGACAAACCGGAGGAAGGUGGGGAUGACGUCAAAUCAUCAUGCCCCUUAUGACCUGGGCUACACACGUGCUACAAUGGAUGGUACAAAGGGCAGCGAAACCGCGAGGUUGAGCCAAUCCCAUAAAACCAUUCUCAGUUCGGAUUGCAGGCUGCAACUCGCCUGCAUGAAGCCGGAAUCGCUAGUAAUCGCGGAUCAGCAUGCCGCGGUGAAUACGUUCCCGGGCCUUGCACUCACCGCCCGU
rnacentral:rRNA from 1 species